AUUGAACGCUGGCGGCAGGCCUAACACAUGCAAGUCGAACGAGUGGCGGACGGGUGAGUAAUGUCUGGGAAACUGCCCGAUGGCGGGGGAUAACUACUGGAAACGGUAGCUAAUACCGCAUACCAUCGGAUGUGCCCAGAUGGGAUUAGCUAGUAGGUGGGGUAACGGCUCACCUAGGCCACGAUCCCUAGCUGAUCUGAGAGGAUGACCAGCAAAACUGGAACGGAGACACGGUCCAGAAUCCUACGGGAGGCAGCGGUAGGGAAUAUUGCACAAUGGGCGCAAGCCUAAUGCAGCCAUGCCGCGUGUAUGAAGAAGGCAUUCGGGUUGUAAAGUACUGUCAGCGAGGAGGCGUUACUCGCAGAAGAAGCACCGGCUAACGCCGUGCCAGCAGCCGCGGUAAUUC
rnacentral:rRNA from 1 species